rnacentral:rRNA from 1 species
UACGAAGGGGGCUAGCGUUGCUCGGAAUCACUGGGCGUAAAGCGCACGUAGGCGGCUUUCUAAGUCAGGGGUGAAAUCCCGGAGCUCAACUCCGGAACUGCCUUUGAUACUGGAAAGCUUGAGUUCGGGAGAGGUGAGUGGAACUGCGAGUGUAGAGGUGAAAUUCGUAGAUAUUCGCAAGAACACCAGUGGCGAAGGCGGCUCACUGGCCCGAUACUGACGCUGAGGUGCGAAAGCGUGGGGAGCAAACAGGAUUAGAUACCCCCGUAGUCC